GAUGAACGCUAGCGGCAGGCUUAACACAUGCAAGUCGAGGGGCAGCAUGAUUUAACUUUCGGGUUAGAUUGAUGGCGACCGGCGCAAGGGUGCGUAACGCGUGAGCAACUUGCCCUUAUCAGGGGAAUAACCGUUGGAAACGACGACUAAUACCCCAUAGCAUCACUUCAAGGCAUCUUUUAGUGAUUAAAGAAUUUCGGAUAAGGAUAGGCUCGCGUGACAUUAGCUAGAUGGUGCGGUAACGGCGUACCAUGGCGACGAUGCUUAGGGGUUCUGAGAGGAAGGUCCCCCACACUGGUACUGAGAUACGGACCAGACUCCUACGGGAGGCAGCAGUGAGGAAUAUUGCACAAUGGGGGGAAACCCUGAUGCAGCGACGCCGCGUGAAGGAUGAAGGUCUUCGGAUCGUAAACUUUUGUCUUCAGGGACGAUAAUGACGGUACCUGAGGAGGAAGCCACGGCUAACUACGUG
rnacentral:rRNA from 1 species